rnacentral:tRNA from 1 species
GCAGUGGUGGUUCAGCAGUAGAAUUCUUGCCUUCCAUGAGGGAGACCCAGGUUUGAUUCCCGGCCAGUGUA